CGGGGGGCAGCAGUGGGGAAUAUUGCGCAAUGGGCGAAAGCCUGACGCAGCGACGCCGCGUGAGGGAUGAAGGCCUUCGGGUUGUAAACCUCUUUCAGCAGGGACGAAGCGAAAGUGACUGUACCUGCAGAAGAAGCACCGGCUAACUACGUGCCAGCAGCCGCGGUAAUACGUAGGGUGCAAGCGUUGUCCGGAAUUAUUGGGCGUAAAGAGCUCGUAGGCGGUUUGUCGCGUCGGAUGUGAAAACUUGGGGCUCAACCCCAAGCCUGCAUUCGAUACGGGCAAACUAGAGUUCGGUAGGGGAGACUGGAAUUCCUGGUGUAGCGGUGAAAUGCGCAGAUAUCAGGAGGAACACCGAUGGCGAAGGCAGGUCUCUGGGCCGAUACUGACGCUGAGGAGCGAAAGCGUGGGGAGCGAACAGGAUUAGAUACCCGCGU
rnacentral:rRNA from 1 species